GCAGUCUUUCUUCUCUCUUCGGUUUGGGAAGGUGAGGUGGCAGAAGCUCCAGCAGCCAUCUUGGACUAGGAGAUAACGCCGAGGGUGAAAACGAGGCGCCCGGAGUUUGGGGAUGUUGGUGGCAGGAGGCAUGGGCCAUAUACAUGCCCGGUGAAGCCCAUGGAAGAGAUGGGUUGAUAAUUCUACCUUGUUCCAACUCUACACAGCUUAGUUAGAGUGGAAAGUGCUCUCGGGAUGACAGCAGUUUUCAUGCUGAACGGCAAGACAUCCAGGACAGCGGAAGGGGAUAGGAUCCAGCCUUGACGCAUGUCACAGCAUGGAUCAGCCUUGAGGACUUCAUGCUGCAUGAAAUGGACCAGUCACAAAGAUAUUGGAUGCUUUCACUUACAGAAGACCCUGAGGAUGGUCAAAUUCAUGGAGACAGGGAGUAUAAUGGAAACCUCCAGGGGCCAGGAGAGGAGGAAUGGGGUGUGUGUUAGUGUUUAGUGGGUGCAGUUCCCUUCUGGCAAGAUUAAUAAAGUUGUAGAGAUUGGCUGGACCACAAUGUUAAUGUACUUACCAUUACUGAAUCGAGUACUUAAAAAUGAUUCAGAUGGAGCAUUUUAUGUGUAUUUUACUAUAUUUAAAAAUCUUAGUAUUAAAAAUAAUAUUUGAUGAGUGCAUUAGUAUAAAGACAAACUAUUAUUGCAUAUUAAUACAAUAUCUAUGACCUAAAAGCUCACUUAUUUUCCUCUAAUUCUGAAAGACAGCUAAACAUUUUUGUGGGCCCCAGAUGGUAUCGCUGGCCGCGCUCUGUGCCCACCAGGCCUGUCGGUGACUUCUGCCCUGUGGGCCAGAGACAAUUUGCAGGAGGCCUGGCCUUGCUAAGAAGGGGCUCUAAGGGCAGGUAUUAGACCCUGUGCGGCGCCCUCUGAGGUACUGUGGCUCCAGAUCCACCCUGCUGACCCCCGCCGCCCCUCUACUCCCUAGACCCUUGAGGCUUCACUCUUGAGCAGCUGCCCUCUGCUGUCCAACACCGCACCAUUGGGCCCUCAGUAAGCGAUGCUUCUAGAAAUGAAGUUUGAGGAAGGUCAUGCUCUGCUCAUAGCUGAGCUUCCUCCUCUCCCUUCCACCCUCAGCACCAACUAAGUGGAUGCGGGGGGGUGCAUUUCUCCAAAAAUAACAGAGCUCGAUGUGCAAAAAUAAAAGUCCUUCUUUGAACAACCUGUCGGAGGAUCUGUCUGCUGCUCUUAAUUCUCCCCGUUGGGAACAAUGGCAAAGCUCUAUCUAGAAAUGAAAGACAAAGGGUGUGGGGGUGGAUCGUCCUUAAAGAAAAGGGGGACAGUAAAACACUAUGUCCUUGGAUGCCCCCUUUCUGUUCCCCAAAAUUUAGUCUAGUCAAGGGAACAACAGGAGCAAGGCUGGGGCCAGAAUGUCCAGAUAUUGAUAUCCCCAAGGACAAGGGCUUCCUCGUGCACACUGGGACCUAGGGCAGGUUCGUGUCAUCUGUACAAAGCUACUUUCUUGCAUGUUUGCCAGAACAGUUGCUCCUUGGGACGCUGGUCACACAAACAAAGCAUGCUAAUGCUGAUAAUGUCACUGUUUCUGUAGCCCAAGACACAAAACAGCUCCCUCAGAAGGGAUGGACACAGAACAGAGGGCACUGUGGAAGGGCUGUGUCACUCAUCCACACUGCGAGGGAGAGGAGGUGCUGCUGGGAGAGCCCCUGAGGGGAGCAGAGGUGCUACCUGUCAGUCUGUCCCCACUGAACUCUUCUUGGAGCAGUCUCUAAACUCUUGUAAGCAUUCUUCACAAUCACACACAGUCUCCAGGCACUUUCUUUGGCCUGUCUGCAACCUGCCCCACUGCCCAGGCAUACCUGGGUUGCUGACCUGAAGGAGGAGCAGGAGAGUUGGAGGGGGUGGUCGCAGCUGACCCACCUGGAGAAGCCAAAAGUCCAAACUGUACUGUUUUUUUUUUUUUUGUGUGUGUGUGUGUGUGUGUGUGUGUGAAUGGUUUACUUCUGAGACUAGUACACACAAAUACACUGAUCUACAGCAAGGAACUAAUAAGUAAAAUGAGGUAAAUUAACAUAAAAGAGCAAUUCACAAUCGGCCUCCAUUUCACAAAACCGUGUAAGUACAAAGGCCCCAGGUUAUAGCAUUCACUCUGAAU